rnacentral:rRNA from 1 species
AUUGAACGCUGGCGGAAUGCUUUACACAUGCAAGUCGAGCGGCAGCGCGGGGGCAACCCUGGCGGCGAGCGGCGAACGGGUGAGUAACAUAUCGGAACGUACCCCGUCGUGGGGGAUAACACAGCGAAAGCUGUGCUAAUACCGCAUACGACCUGAGGGUGAAAGCGGGGGAUCGCAAGACCUCGCGCGAUGGGAGCGGCCGAUAUCGGAUUAGCUUGUUGGUGAGGUAAAGGCUCACCAAGGCGACGAUCCGUAGCUGGUCUGAGAGGACGACUAGCCACACUGGAACUGAGACACGGUCCAGACUCCUACGGGAGGCAGCAGUGGGGAAUUUUGGACAAUGGGGGCAACCCUGAUCCAGCCAUUCCGCGUGAGUGAAGAA